AGAGUUUGAUCCUGGCUCAGAAUCAACGCUGGCGGCGCGCCUAACACAUGCAAGUCGCACGAGAAAGUGGAGCAAUCCAUGAGUAAAGUGGCGUACGGGUGAGUAACACGUGGAUCAUCUACCUCUUAGUGGGGAAUAACCCUGGGAAACCGGGGCUAAUACCGCAUAAGCUCGAGAGAGGAAAGCAGCAAUGCGCUGAGAGAGGAGUCCGCGGCCGAUUAGCUAGUUGGCAGGGUAAAAGCCUACCAAGGCAAAGAUCGGUAGCCGGCCUGAGAGGGCACACGGCCACACUGGCACUGAAACACGGGCCAGACUCCUACGGGAGGCAGCAGUGGGGAAUCUUGCACAAUGGGGGAAACCCUGAUGCAGCGACGCCGCGUGAGCGAUGAAGCCCUUCGGGGUGUAAAGCUCUUUCGGCAGGGAAGAUUAUGGCGGUACCUGCAGAAGCAGCUGCGGCUAACUACGUGCCAGCAGCCGCGGUAAUACGUAGGCAGCAAGCGUUGUUCGGAGUUACUGGGCGUAAAGGGUGUGUAGGCGGUUGCUUAAGUUUGGUGUGAAAUCUCCCGGCUCAACUGGGAGGGUGCGCCGAAUACUGAGUGACUCGAGUGCGGGAGAGGAAAGUGGAAUUCCUGGUGUAGCGGUGAAAUGCGUAGAUAUCAGGAGGAACACCGGUGGUGUAGACGGCUUUCUGGACCGUAACUGACGCUGAAACACGAAAGCGUGGGUAGCAAACAGGAUUAGAUACCCUGGUAGUCCACGCCCUAAACGAUGCAUAUUUGGUGUGAGUCAUUCAGUUGAUUCGUGCCGGAGCUAACGCGUUAAAUAUGCCGCCUGGGGAGUACAGUCGCAAGGCUGAAACUCAAAGGAAUUGACGGGGGCCCGCACAAGCGGUGGAGCAUGUGGUUCAAUUCGACGCAACGCGAAGAACCUUACCUGGGCUCGAACGGCUGGUCAACGGCGGUGGAAACAUCGCUACCCCGCAAGGGGGUCCAGUC
rnacentral:rRNA from 1 species